CCUGACUUAAGGGGCCAGGAGCAAGUCUGCUUGACCCUGCUCCACCCACAAGCUAUCUGUGGAGAUGACCCCUAUUAUUGCAACAUUGUUACUUUUAGUAUUCUGUCCACCCUUUACCCUCCCAGCACUUCUUCACAGGAGACACCCCACUCGCAUACCAAAAGGACCAUUGUUAUCCCUAUCCUCUUGAGACUAUCACCACUGGACUGGCAGACAUAGGAAUAAGUGCAAGCACCCUAGCCCAACAAGAUCAAUUAUUAAAAGCCACCCAACAAUUAUCAGCCACCAUAACCAACCACAUGCAGACACUAGCCUGAGUCUGAAUCUGAUGCAGCAACAGCAUGACUCACUGGCACAAAUGGUGAUGGAUAAUCAACUGGCAUUAGAUUUCCUGUUGGCUGAAUGGGGUGCAGUCUGUUCUUUACAGGGCACCUCUUGCUGCAUGUACAUUAACAACUCAGGAUAGGUACAGGCCAACCUCCAGAAGAUGUCUCAAAGUCUGCAGAUCAUGCAUAAUAUAAAGUAUUUCAACAAAUUCCCACACUCCCUGAGGCCCCUGAUUUGUUAUCAUGGCUCUUGUCAUCCAUGUGGGGGCAAUGGCUGAGAAUGGGAUUUCAAACAGUAGCGUAUUCAUCAUAGGCUUCAUUGUUAUUGCUUUGGAUAAAUGUGCUUUAGAAUGGCUUCAGAAAGCAAUACCUAUGUCCUUUAAUGUAUCUGCUACACAAGUGAUUGCUAUUCCUGAUGCCGAAACAUCAUGGGAUGGAUUGUUGAGAGUUUAGCUAAACUACUCCAUAAUAUUGCUGCUUCAGCAUCCAUUUUGUGUGUCGAAGCAGGCUGCAGGGACCUUAACUGACACUAGCCCCUCCCAAGAAUGCAUGCCCUAGAUAACAGCCGGCAGAAUCACAGGUAAAUGUACGUUCCUGAUAUGACUCUCCCAACCGCCCUCGUGAUAAGCAUUCUCCAUCGCCUCCUGGAGCCUUCCCCUUGUGCACCUCUUAUGUAAGACCCCCAAGAAGCUUACCAAAACCUCAUUCUUUUUGGUUUGAAUUGACCAAUCCAGCCUUAGCCUGGGAACCCUAAAGCACUCUACCUGCAGAAUCCAAUACAGGCACAUGCCCUAGCUUCUGCCCUGCUCUCUCUGCCUGCACCCUGCCUUGACUUCCCCAUGUGGCUCCUUGAGGCAUGCCGUGUACCUCCUCCAGGAUCUUCUUUUGUUGAACCGUGGCUCACCAUCUGACAUCCUGGGGCUCUACUUAACAAAUGUUAAUUUUAAAAAGUCACAACAUGUGUUAACUUGACUGUGCUAAGUGAUGACCAGAUAGCUGGUAACACAUUAUUUCUGGAUGUGUCUGUGAGGGUGUAUCCAGAAGAAAUUAAUAUUUGAGUCAGUAGACUGAGUAAAGAAUAUCCUCCUUCACUAGUGUGGAUGGGCAUCAUCCAAUCCAUUGAGGGCCUGAGUAGAACAAAAAUGCAGAGGAAGGUUGAAUUCUUUCUCCUGCCCUCGGACAUCGGAGCUCCUGGUUCUCAAGGCCGUCAGACUCCAAGACUUAAACCAGUGCCUCUCCCCUCCUCUAGGCUUUCCACCUUGGACUGGAAGAUACACCAUUGGCUCCCUGGUUCCCAGGACUUCAGACUCAGACUGAAUUAUACCACCAGCUUUCCUGGUUCUCCAGCUUGGCGACAGCAGAUCAUGGGACUUCUAAGCUGCCAUAAUAACAUGAGCCAAUUCAAUUCCUAUAAUAAAUCUCCUUUUAUAUAUUUGUAUAUAUAUCCUAUUGGUUCUGUUUCUCUGGAGAACCCCGACUAAUGCAACCACUUUAUGUGAAUGUGUAAAGGGAAGUAGUAAGAAACAACACUUUCAAAUUUAAAUCUCAGAGCUUAGAAUGGUCAAAUUAAUUUUGGAAGACUGACUUUCAAGCAUUAGAUUCUAAAUUCUCAUUUUUAUUUCAUAAUAUCUUCAAAUGUUAACCUUAAAAGGUUAGAACAAUUAUAAUUAGAAAAAUCUACCAGUAGAGCAAUUAUACCUCACUCUAGUAAAUUUGUUUGAGAACCACUUAUCAGUGGUUCCUAAAUUGGGCUAUAUUCAUGAUAAUUUAUUCCAAAAAUAAAAUGAUAUAUUUUCCAAUGUGUUCACAAAUGUCUAUCAUCAAGGUUUUUUUUUUGUAGACUAAUAGAACUAAAGUUAAUGUUUUGUUGUGUUUUUUACUGUAACAAUAUUAAAUAUGCUAAUUAUUGAAAAGUAAAUUGCAGGCAGUAGUAAAAACAUGGUAAAG